UACGGAGGGUGCAAGCGUUAUCCGGAUUCACUGGGGUUAAAGGGUGCGUAGGUGGGCAAGUAAGUCAGUGGUGAAAUCUCCGGGCUUAACCCGGAAACUGCCAUUGAUACUAUUUGUCUUGAAUACUGUGGAGGUCAGCGGAAUAUGUCAUGUAGCGGUGAAAUGCUUAGAUAUGACAUAGAACAUCGAUUGCGAAGGCAGCUCGCUACGCUAUUAUUGACACUGAGGCACGAAAGCGUGGGGAUCAAACAGG
rnacentral:rRNA from 1 species